AUGAAUGUACCUGGGGACAAUGCCAUUCAGAGAAGGGGAAGUGGCCAGCAUAACCAGAGCAGGGUGUGUGUCGAAGAGAGUGAUGGCAGCGGGCUCGUGGCCCAGGGCGAGGCGCGCGCCCCGCUGGCCUGGCCACGACGCGGGCGCAGCGGAGGGCGGCCCGCGAGGUGUCUGACCCGGUCCCUGUCCUGCGCGCAGGCCAAGAUUAAGGCUCGAGACCUUCGCGGCAAGAAGGAAGAGCUGCUGAAGCAGCUGGACGACCUGAAGGUGGAGCUGUCCCAGCUGCGCGUCGCCAAAGUGACUGGCGGCGCGGCGUCCAAGCUCUCCGAGAUCCAAGUUGUUCGCAAAUCCAUCGCCCGUGUUCUCACCGUCAUUAACCAGACCCAGAAGGAGAACCUCAGGAAAUUCUACAAGGGCAAGAAGUACAAGCCCCUGGAUCUGCGGCCCAAGAAAACAAGUGCCACGCGCCGCCGGCUCAACAAGCACGAAGAGAACCUGAAGACCAAGAAGCAGCAGCGGAAGGAGCGCCUGUACCCGCUGCGGAAGUACGCGGUCAAGGCCUGAGCACCCCCCAAUAAAACAGACAAGCGGGC